rnacentral:rRNA from 1 species
GACGAACGCUGGCGGCGUGCCUAAUACAUGCAAGUAGGACGCAGUUGCGAACGGGUGAGUAACGCGUAGGUAACUACCUAUUAGAGGGGGCUAACUAUUGGAAACGAUAGCUAAUACCGCAUACUAGUAGAUGGACCUGCGUUGUAUUAGCUAGUAGGUCGGGUAAUGGCCUACCUAGGCAACGAUACAUAGCCGACCUGGAGAGGUGGUCGGCCACACUGGGACUGGGGCACGGCCCAGACUCCUACGGGAGGCAGCAGUAGGGAAUCUUCGGCAAUGGGGCGAACCCUGACCGAGCAACGCCGCGUGAGUGAAGAAGGUUUUCGGAGCGUAAAGCUCUGUUGUGAAGGAAGCGAUACUUAACCAGAAAGGGACGGCUAACUACGUGCCAGCCGCCGCGGUAAUUC